CAAACAGGAAGCCAAAGGGACAGACGGAGGCCGAGCGCUGCAAUCGUGCGGCGAACCCUGCGGGAGGAACCCCAGGAAGUAGAAAAAACCCAGGGUGCGGAGGGACGCCAUGGCGGACGGGACGGGAACAAGGGAGGAAGAAGGGGAGACUUUGCGGCGCUGGGAACGUCAACAAAUCCAGAUGAAAGAAGAUGUGAUUGAACAAGACACAGAGGAAUGGCAGAGCAAUUUCUCCUUUGCUGGACUGGAAAGAGUUGGAGGAAUGGAUUUGUCUUAUCUCAAAGAAGAUGCCACACGUGCCUGUGCUUCAUUGGUGGUGCUCAGCUACCCAGAACUUGAGGUCCUUUACGAAGACUGCUAUGUGGUGGCUGUGAAUGCCCCCUAUGUGGCAGGAUUCCUGGCUUUCCGAGAAGUCCCUUUUUUAUUGGAGGCUGUACAGCGGCUGGAGACACAGAAGCCUGGCCUCAAGCCCCAGGUGCUUCUUGUAGAUGGAAAUGGCAUCCUGCACCACAGAGGUUUUGGCGUUGCCUGCCAUCUUGGUGUUCUCACAGGUCUUCCCUGUAUUGGUGUAGCCAAAAAUCUCUUGCAGGUUGAAGGUUUGGCCAAUGAUGAGCUUCACAAGAAACAAAUUCAAGAUCUUCAGGCAGGAGGAGAUGCAUUCCCACUGACAAGUACCUCUGGGAAAAUCUUGGGUAUGGCCUUGCGUAGCUGUGCCAAGUGUACAAAACCUAUAUACAUCUCAGUCGGCCACAAGAUAAGUCUAUUAUCGGCUAUGCGCCUGGUCCAUUCUUGUUGCAAGUAUCGGAUUCCUGAGCCCAUCCGGCAGGCAGAUAUAAGAUCCAGAGAAUACAUCCGGAAACAUAUGGAGGUCAAUACUGCUGUACCCCUUCCUCAGCUAGAGAGAGGCCAAGAUCUGGAAAGUGUCAGAUUGGGGGAAGCUGACAAAAAUGAAGGCAAGGACUGAGAGCUAAUCACAAAGGUGAGCUUUCAUCUCUAAGGCCACCAUCCUGAGAAGAGAAUGUGGCAAUUUCCAUCUAUUCAACAAAGCACUGCCCAGAGAUCAAAGACAGUCAAGAGAAGCUCUUUCAAGUACUUUCAUCCAGGGAUUUGCCAACUACAUUUUGGAGCAAGAAAUAUUGUCCUAACAGAGCAGGCCUGGGCUUUAGGUUUUAUGGAUUGAAAAAAACCUGGGACUUUAUAUGAUCAAAGCAGCAAGAUUUUUAUAUGCACAGAGAUGGAAGGAUUUACAGAUUCCUACAAUGGAAUAAUGGAUGGUGAAAUUAAUGGAGUUGGCAGAGCUGGCAAAAUUGGCAACUUUGAUGCAAGAAAGACUUGUUGCUACCUGGAAACCACUUUUGGAUUGUUUGCUUGAAACUGAAAGAAAUGAAACUUUUAAUUGUGGGAUUUGAUUGUUACAACUGUUUAUCAAAAUAUAUGCUUAGAUUUGUAUAGGUACCAAAGAAAAUUUGAAGUUUUCUAUUUUUUUCUAUUGUUCCUUUUUUACCCUCUAAUCUUGUUUCAAUCUUGACCUUUCCCGCCUAUUUAUUUUUCUGUUUUAUAUUUUAUUCUUUGUUGAAACAAUAAAAUUUUGUAAA